rnacentral:rRNA from 1 species
AUUGAACGCUGGCGGCAUGCCUUACACAUGCAAGUCGAACGGUAACGGGCCUUCGGGUGCCGGCGAGUGGCGAACGGGUGAGUAAUACAUCGGAACGUGCCCGAUCGUGGGGGAUAACGAGGCGAAAGCUUUGCUAAUACCGCAUACGAUCUACGGAUGAAAGCAGGGGACCGCAAGGCCUUGCGCGGACGGAGCGGCCGAUGGCAGAUUAGGUAGUUGGUGGGAUAAAAGCUUACCAAGCCGACGAUCUGUAGCUGGUCUGAGAGGAUGAUCAGCCACACUGGGACUGAGACACGGCCCAGACUCCUACGGGAGGCAGCAGUGGGGAAUUUUGGACAAUGGGCGCAAGCCUGAUCCAGCCAUGCCGCGUGCAGGAUGAAGGCCUUCGGGUUGUAAACUGCUUUUGUACGGAACGAAAAGCCUUCUUUUAAUACAGGAGGGUCAUGACGGUACCGUAAGAAUAAGCACCGGCUAACUACGUG